AACGAACGCUGGCGGCAUGCCUAACACAUGCAAGUCGAACGAGACCUUCGGGUCUAGUGGCGCACGGGUGCGUCACGCGUGGGAACCUGCCCUUAGGUUCGGAAUAACUCCCCGAAAGGGGUGCUAAUACCGGAUAAUGUCCUCGGACCAAAGAUUUAUCGCCUUUGGAUGGGCCCGCGUUGGAUUAGCUAGUUGGUAGGGUAAAAGCCUACCAAGGCGACGAUCCAUAGCUGGUCUGAGAGGAUGAUCAGCCACACUGGGACUGAGACACGGCCCAGACUCCUACGGGAGGCAGCAGUGGGGAAUAUUGGACAAUGGGCGAAAGCCUGAUCCAGCAAUGCCGCGUGAGUGAUGAAGGCCUUAGGGUUGUAAAGCUCGUUUACCCGGGAUGAUAAUGACAGUACCGGGAGAAUAAGCUCCGGCUAACUCCGUG
rnacentral:rRNA from 1 species